rnacentral:lncRNA from 1 species
AUGAAGAGCUCAAUCUGUUCAUGUCCAGGUCUGAGUGAGGACGUCACUGUUGUGGCGUGUGUGGGAACAAAUGGCAGUUUGAUGCUGGAUGUGCAGAAUAGAGACGGCAGCAGCAACGGAGCUGAGUCUCUGGGCAGUGUGUCUGUGGGAGCAGCCAAUCAGAGGCUGGUGCUGAGAGCAGGUGGCUGUUUGCAAAGUCUCACUGCAGUGGAGGCACGCAUUCAAUACUUGAGCUCUCAGAUACAGAAUAAGCUGCUUGAGAGAAUCAAGACAUUACAGCAUCUCCUUGAUGAAUUCAGACGGCAGGUAACCAAACUUCUGCAGGACACUGUAAACAAAUGCAUGGAACGUCUAACUUUAAUGUGCAGUAUGUUUUUAAUUUGGUUUCUCUUCACAACUUUCUCUCUGCAGUCCCGGGACAGUGAGUUACUCCAGGAGCUGAGCUCGGUUCCCCUUCAUGUUUCCCAGCGAGCAGAGGCUCUGCUGGUGCACAGAGGCAGAGCUUUGUUGGCUCUGUGGCAGCACAGCCCCCCGCGUCAUAUUGUGACCGACAGCCUGCCACGCUUUCUCAGCCUGCUGCAGCACGCCUCUCUGCUGGGACAACAGGAGCUGAGGAGGCCCUUGGCCACUCUGGCAGGCGUGUACCAAGAUGUGAAGGGCCAGAGACUUGAGGCGCUGUGGAGGGAAGCUGUUUCGUUGUGGACAGACAGGCUGCUGCAGGUCCUACAUGUGCUGUUAGAGAAGCGUCAGCUGAGGUCGCUGGCUCAGGCCAGUGUCUCCACGCUCAGAGUUGCCCUGGAUGUGGCAGGACAGCAUACCUACCACUGGGUGGAGACCAGGUUGGCAAUGGCUCUGUCUGGGGUCAGGAAACGACUGGCCUCUGUCUACAAACUCUCCCCCAGGUACUGCACAUGUCUGACACAUACAUGAAGAAAAGCUCUCUGCACCACAUUUUUCAUUCUUACAUUCCUUUCAUACAGUUACGUAAAGUGGUCAGUG